rnacentral:rRNA from 1 species
GAUGAACGCUGGCGGCGUGCCUAAUACAUGCAAGUCGAGCGAACGGACGAGAAGCUUGCUUCUCUGAUGUUAGCGGCGGACGGGUUAGUAACACGUGGAUAACCUACCUAUAAGACUGGGAUAACUUCGGGAAACCGGAGCUAAUACCGGAUAAUAUUUUGAACCGCAUGGUUCAAAAGUGAAAGACGGUCUUGCUGUCACUUAUAGAUGGAUCCGCGCUGCAUUAGCUAGUUGGUAAGGUAACGGCUUACCAAGGCAACGAUGCAUAGCCGACCUGAGAGGGUGAUCGGCCACACUGGAACUGAGACACGGUCCAGACUCCUAAGGGAGGCAGCAGUAGGGAAUCUUCCGCAAUGGGCGAAAGCCUGACGGAGCAAAGCCGCGUGAGUGAUGAAGGUCUUCGGAUCGUAAAACUCUGUUAUUAGGGAAGAACAUAUGUGUAAGUAACUGUGCACAUCUUGACGGUACCUAAUCAGAAAGCCACGGCUAACUACGUG